rnacentral:tRNA from 1 species
UAGAGAAUAGUGUAAGUGGAAGUACGGAGGGUUUUGAUCUCUCAGAUAUAGGUUCGAGUCCUAUUUCUCUAA